GACGAACGCUGGCGGCGUGCUUAACACAUGCAAGUCGAACGGAAAGGCCCUGCUUUUGUGGGGUGCUCGAGUGGCGAACGGGUGAGUAACACGUGAGUAACCUGCCCUUGACUUUGGGAUAACUUCAGGAAACUGGGGCUAAUACCGGAUAGGAGCUCCUGCUGCAUGGUGGGGGUUGGAAAGUUUCGGCGGUUGGGGAUGGACUCGCGGCUUAUCAGCUUGUUGGUGGGGUAGUGGCUUACCAAGGCUUUGACGGGUAGCCGGCCUGAGAGGGUGACCGGCCACAUUGGGACUGAGAUACGGCCCAGACUGCUACGGGAAGCAGCAGUGGGGAAUAUUGCACAAUGGGCGGAAGCCUGAUGCAGCAACGCCGCGUGCGGGAUGACGGCCUUCGGGUUGUAAACCGCUUUCGCCUGUGACGAAGCGUGAGUGACGGUAAUGGGUAAAGAAGCACCGGCUAACUACGUG
rnacentral:rRNA from 1 species